rnacentral:rRNA from 1 species
GAUGAACGCUGGCGGAAUGCUUUACACAUGCAAGUCGAACGAUGAACCUUAGCUUGCUAAGGGGAUUAGUGGCGAACGGGUGAGUAAUAUAUCGGAACGUACCUUGUACUGGGGGAUAACUAGUCGAAAGAUUAGCUAAUACCGCAUACGCCCUGAGGGGGAAAGUAGGGGAUCUUCGGACCUUACGUUAUAAGAGCGGCCGAUAUCUGAUUAGCUAGUUGGUGGGGUAAUGGCCUACCAAGGCGACGAUCAGUAGCUGGUCUGAGAGGACGACCAGCCACACUGGAACUGAGACACGGUCCAGACUCCUACGGGAGGCAGCAGUGGGGAAUUUUGGACAAUGGGCGCAAGCCUGAUCCAGCCAUUCCGCGUGAGUGAAGAAGGCCUUCGGGUUGUAAAGCUCUUUCGCAAGGGAAGAAAACUUACAUUCUAAUAAAGUGUGAGGCUGACGGUACCUUGAUAAGAAGCACCGGCUAACUACGUGCCAGCCGCCGCGGUAA